rnacentral:tRNA from 1 species
GCAUCGGUGGUUCAGUGGUAAAAUGCUCAUCUGCCACUCGGGCGGCCCGGGCUUGAUUUCCGGCCGAUGCA